UCCUGACUGACCGAUAGUGAACCAGUACCGUGAGGGAAAGGCGAAAAGAACCCCGGCGAGGGGAGUGAAAAAGAACCUGAAACCGUGUACGUACAAGCAGUGGGAGCACGCUUAGGCGUGUGACUGCGUACCUUUUGUAUAAUGGGUCAGCGACUUAUAUUCUGUAGCAAGGUUAACCGAAUAGGGGAGCCGAAGGGAAACCGAGUCUUAACUGGGCGUUAAGUUGCAGGGUAUAGACCCGAAACCCGGUGAUCUAGCCAUGGGCAGGUUGAAGGUUGGGUAACACUAACUGGAGGACCGAACCGACUAAUGUUGAAAAAUUAGCGGAUGACUUGUGGCUGGGGGUGAAAGGCCAAUCAAACCGGGAGAUAGCUGGUUCUCCCCGAAAGCUAUUUAGGUAGCGCCUCGUGAAUUCAUCUCCGGGGGUAGAGCACUGUUUCGGCAAGGGGGUCAUCCCGACUUACCAACCCGAUGCAAACUGCGAAUACCGGAGAAUGUUAUCACGGGAGACACACGGCGGGUGCUAACGUCCGUCGUGAAGAGGGAAACAACCCAGACCGCCAGCUAAGGUCCCAAAGUCAUGGUUAAGUGGGAAACGAUGUGGGAAGGCCCAGACAGCCAGGAUGUUGGCUUAGAAGCAGCCAUCAUUUAAAGAAAGCGUAAUAGCUCACUGGUCGAGUCGGCCUGCGCGGAAGAUGUAACGGGGCUAAACCAUGCACCGAAGCUGCGGCAGCGAUGCUUAUGCGUUGUUGGGUAGGGGAGCGUUCUGUAAGCCUGCGAAGGUGUGCUGUGAGGCAUGCUGGAGGUAUCAGAAGUGCGAAUGCUGACAUAAGUAACGAUAAAGCGGGUGAAAAGCCCGCUCGCCGGAAGACCAAGGGUUCCUGUCCAACG
rnacentral:rRNA from 1 species